AAGCUUGUAACUCAGUGGAAAAGAGUACGUGCUUCCGAAGCAUGGUGUCGUGGGUUCAAAUCCCGCCAAGCUUG
rnacentral:tRNA from 1 species